AAAUUCUUCAAGAUGGAUCAUCUGGGAAAACCUGGCUCCACAACCCAAAGGACACAUCUGGAAAACUACCUUUCAUCAUAAAAGUGUCUCAUCUCUCCUCCAGGAAGAGACACCUGCUGGGAGCCACAUAGAAAGGUUG